rnacentral:rRNA from 1 species
CAGCCGCCGCGGUAAUACGGAGGGUGCAAGCGUUAAUCGGAAUUACUGGGCGUAAAGCGCACGCAGGCGGUUCGUUAAGUCAGAUGUGAAAUCCCCGGGCUCAACCUGGGAAUGGCAAUGGAUACUGGCAAGCUAGAGUGUGUCAGAGGAUGGUGGAAUUCCCGGUGUAGCGGUGAAAUGCGCAGAUACCGGGAGGAACGCCGAUGGCGAAGGCAGCCACCUGGUCCACUUCUGACGCUGAGGCGCGAAAGCGUGGGGAGCAAACCGGAUUAGAUACCCCUGUAGUCCCUGUCUCUUAUAC